rnacentral:misc_RNA from 1 species
GUUUGGACCUUGUGGCCCUGUCCCAGGUCCUUGGUUCUAGAAAAAGGAACCAGUGGCCAUCUAUAGUUUUAGGCAUUGAGUUUGUCGGCUGUAAUGAAGAUCAUGAGUUAGAAGUCCAUAGAUUUUGUGCCCUUGAACUAGUUUUUAAGCUUAGAUCCAUCCCUCUCAUAACUUGACAAGUUUUUUCUCACAUUGGAAGAAUUUCAUGGUAAUCUUAGCCACUUUUAUCUUGGAAAUUAAUUUCUGUUGCAAGAAAAGUUUGUUAUGCAGUGG